GCGCAGCAGUCGCGAAAACUUCACAAUGUGCGAAAGCACGAUGAGGGAAUCCCAAGUGCUUGCACGUAAGUGUAAGCUGUUUCUCUGUCUAAAACGCAGAGAGAGUAAGGGCUGGGUAAGACGGGUGCCAGCCGCCGCGGUAAUACCUGCAGCUCGAGUGGUGACCGUUAUUAUUGGGCCUAAAACGUCCGUAGCCGGUUUAAUAAAUGCCUGGGUAAAUCGGACCGCUUAACGGUUCGAAUUCCGGGUAGACUGUUAAACUUGAGACCGGGAGAAGUUAGAGGUACUCCUGGGGUAGAGGUGAAAUUCUGUAAUCCUAGGGGGACCACCAGUGGCGAAGGCGUCUAACUAGAACGGGUCUGACGGUGAGGGACGAAGCCCUGGGGCGCAAAAC
rnacentral:rRNA from 1 species